GAUGCAGUGUACAACUCUUGGAACAUAGACUGGGUAUCAUAAAUUUUUUUUUAUGUGUUUGCUUAGUGUUUUGCAGAUUCUGACGUUUUUGCCUCUACCUUCAGUAAUUUGCUACAGCAUACCUGUAGAUUUUAUUUAAUAUGGAGCUAGCCAAUCUUCAAAUGGAGCUACCCUAUGCCACAUUCUCUUACCCAGAGCCUGUUUUACAAGCAGUCAACAGAG
rnacentral:lncRNA from 1 species